rnacentral:rRNA from 1 species
GACGGAGGAUGCAAGUGUUAUCCGGAAUCACUGGGCGUAAAGCGUCUGUAGGUGGUCAAAUAAGUCAACUGUUAAAUCUUGAGGCUCAACCUCAAAAUCGCAGUCGAAACUAUUAGACUAGAGUAUAGUAGGGGUAAAGGGAAUUUCCAGUGGAGCGGUGAAAUGCGUAGAGAUUGGAAAGAACACCGAUGGCGAAGGCACUUUACUGGGCUAUUACUAACACUCAGAGACGAAAGCUAGGGAAGCAAAUGGG